GUCCAGCUGACGAGUCCCAAGUAGGACAAAAUGCGCGUCCUACAC
rfam:Schistosoma haematobium scaffold634_7, whole genome shotgun sequence.